GGAAUCAUAUAAACCAGGGCACGAAGGUGGGGAGAUGGGGGGUUGUACGGGAAAUGGAAAAGGGUCCAGUUUGACUGGAUCGUAGACUUGAUGAAGUGGAGUAAGAGAUAAGACUGGAAAGAUGAUGACACUGCCACUUCUGACUUCUGCCUCUGGCCUUCCACUCUCAGUAAGAAGAGCCAGGCAGGUGCUUCAGAACUGGGCCCUUUUUCAGACCCCAGGCAGUUCCCAAGC